CUACUUGACACUAGACUAGACUGAAACCCCAAAACCCUCAAACAAUUUAAUUAGAAUAGAAUCCUUUCUUUGCCGAAGAACGCCAGUACAAAACCCUAAAAUCAAAAUCUCUACUUUUAACUGGUCUUCCUUUCGAAGAAGAAGAAGAAGAAGACCUGAAAAGCAAAUCCCUAAAAAUCAACAGCAGCUACCGACGUUUUUACAAUGUCGAUGUCAAAGAGUUCAAAGAUGCUUCAAUUCAUAAACUACCGGAUGCGCGUGACCAUCCAAGACGGUCGCCAGCUGAUUGGAAAAUUCAUGGCCUUCGACCGUCACAUGAACCUCGUCCUCGGAGACACUGAAGAGUUUCGUAAGCUUCCCCCAGCUAAGGGCAAGAAAAAUAACAACAAUGAGGAACGCGAGGACCGUCGCACUUUAGGUCUCGUCCUUCUCAGGGGUGAAGAAGUCAUUUCCAUGACCGUUGAAGGCCCUCCGCCUCCUGAAGAGUCUCGUGCCAAGGCUGUCUCCGCCUCUGCUAUUGCUGGUCCCGGUAUUGGCCGUGCUGCUGGCCGCGGAGUGCCCACUGGACCGCUCGUCCAAGCACAGCCGGGUCUUGCUGGACCCAUUCGUGGCGUUGGCGGUCCUGCUCCUGCUAUGAUGCAGCCACAGAUCGCGAGGCCACCGGUCAGUUACCCUCCGGCUGCCCCACCCGUCAUUCGUCCGCCUGGUCAGAUUCCUCCACCUGGUAUGUUUCCAGGACAGGCUCCACCACCCAUGGCACGGGGCCCACCUCAGCAGGUCCCACCGCCUUUUGGGGUUAGGCCGCCACACCAGCAGUUUCCUAUGCCUCCACAACAGUUUGCAGGUCAGAGACCGAUGGUGCCACCUCCACCUGGGCCUAUGAUGAGAGGACCUCCUGCUCCUCCGCCAGGUCGACCGGGAAUGCCCAAUGCAGCUCCGCCACGUCCUGGAAUGCCUCCACCACCUGGUGCUUCAAUUCCUGCUUUUGCACCUCCUCGUCCUGGGAUGCCACCCCCUCCGGGAAACCCUCCACAGCAGCAACAGUGAUGGGAGUUAUGAAACUAGCGAAAGUUCUUGAUCGGAAUGUUCUUGUUGCACAUAAGCUUGCUUUGAGUUCGACAUUCCAGGAUAAAGCUGAAAUUCAACUUGUAUUAUCCUGGUUUCUCUUGAUAGAACUUUACAGUUCAUACUUUUCGGAGCAGAAGGUUGGAGUUUCUUCUAGUAAGAAAAGUCCAUUUUAUGGUUUAUGUAGUUAUUUCAAACUCUCUUCUAGGUAUUUUUGCAUCAGGUGUCUCAAUUCAACCUAUUAUGAGCAUUUUCAUUUUCAUGGUUUGCUUUUAUUUUUCCCUGUAAGUUUUAAAUCGUUUACCUUGAUAGGUAAACAUUAGUAUCUAUUGUUUUUGUUCGUAUUUUGAAAAUGUGUGGAUCAAAUCUGAAAAUGUUAGAAUAUUAGUUGUAUCAUAUCUCAAAAAUGUUAGAAUAGAUGUAGGAUCAUAUCUCAAAAGACGCUGGUAUAGAGGAUCAUAUUUUGAAACUGUAAGUGUGGUAUUGACUAUUGAUAGAGAAGCUUCAAAACUUGAGAAUUUUGGCCUUUGUA